UACGUAGGGGGCGAGCGUUAUCCGGAUUUACUGGGUAUAAAGGGGGCGCAGACGGCGAUGCAAGCCAGGAGUGAAAGCCCGGGGCCCAACCCCGGGACUGCUCUUGGAACUGCGUGGCUGGAGUGCAGGAGGGGCAGGCGGAAUUCCUGGUGUAGCGGUGAAAUGCGUAGAUAUCAGGAGGAACACCGGUGGCGAAGGCGGCCUGCUGGACUGCAACUGACGUUGAGGCCCGAAAGCGUGGGGAGCAAACAGG
rnacentral:rRNA from 1 species